AGUGUGGAGGCGGGAGCCCGGGCGGCCGGCUUGAACUCCGUGCACGCGGGCCUGGAGCUGCGCCCCUGCGUCUUUUCCCGACUUCUGAUCCGCAGAGGGACACUCGGAGCCCCAGCCUGGGUCGCAGUGCCUUCGGUCUGCGGGCCUCAGUUUCUCGGUCCGCGCCGGGGGUUUGUGGGGGCACCUGGAGACAUUUGGGCCGUUCUCGCAGUCUCGGGAGGCCGCGCCCGCUCCUUGCCUGGCCUCACGGCGGCCGAUCUCGUUCUCCACUUUCUAGGUGGCGCCUGGACUCUCGCCCUCAGAGGGAGGCCCGUCCCACGGUCUCUGGCUACGGAUCCCAGGACCCUCUUCGCGGGCGAUUCGCGUAGCCUCAGUCAGGGCCGGGACCUGAAGCUGUGCCUGUGGGACCUCGCGGAGGGCAGGAGCGCUGUCGUAGACUCCGUGUGCUUGGAGAGUGUGGGCUUCUGCCGGAGCAGCAUCCUGGCCGGGGGCCAGCCACGCUGGACGCUUGCCGUGCCAGGGAAGGGCAGUGACGAGGUUCAGAUUCUGGAGAUGCCAUCCAAGACGUCAGUGUGCGCCCUGAAGCCGAAGGCAGAUGCCAAGCUGGGCAUGCCCAUGUGCCUGCGGCUGUGGCAGGCCGACUGCAGCUCCCGCCCACUCCUUCUGGCCGGCUAUGAGGAUGGAUCGGUGGUCCUGUGGGACGUCUCUGAGCAGAAGGUGUGCAGCCGCAUCGCCUGCCAUGAGGAGCCCGUCAUGGACCUUGACUUUGACUCCCAGAAGGCCAGGGGCAUCUCAGGCUCCGCGGGGAAGGCGCUGGCUGUCUGGAGCCUGGACGGGCAGCAGGCCCUGCAGGU
rnacentral:sRNA from 1 species